rnacentral:rRNA from 1 species
AACGAACGCUGGCGGCAUGCCUAACACAUGCAAGUCGAACGAGACCUUCGGGUCUAGUGGCGCACGGGUGCGUAACGCGUGGGAACCUGCCCUUAGGUUCGGAAUAACUCCCCGAAAGGGGUGCUAAUACCGGAUAAUGUCUUCGGACCAAAGAUUUAUCGCCUUUGGAUGGGCCCGCGUUGGAUUAGCUAGUUGGUAGGGUAAAAGCCUACCAAGGCGACGAUCCAUAGCUGGUCUGAGAGGAUGAUCAGCCACACUGGGACUGAGACACGGCCCAGACUCCUACGGGAGGAAGCAGUGGGGAAUAUUGGACAAUGGGCGAAAGCCUGAUCCAGCAAUGCCGCGUGAGUGAUGAAGGCAUUAGGGUUGUAAAGCUCUUUUACCCGGGAUGAUAAUGACAGUACCGGGAGAAUAAGCUCCGGCUAACUCCGUG